rnacentral:rRNA from 1 species
CCUACGGGCGGCAGCAGUGAGGAAUAUUGGUCAAUGGGCGAGAGCCUGAACCAGCCAAGCCGCGUGAAGGAUGAAGGAUCUAUGGUUUGUAAACUUCUUUUAUAUGGGAAUAAAGUGAGGAACGUGUUCCUUUUUGUAUGUACCAUAUGAAUAAGCAUCGGCUAACUCCGUGCCAGCAGCCGCGGCAAUACGGUGGAUGCGUGCGUUAUCCGGAUUUAUUGGGUUUAAAGGGUGCGUAGGUGGUUAAUUAAGUCAGCGGUGAAAGUUUGUGGCUCAACCAUAAAAUUGCCGUUGAUACUGGUUGACUUGAGUAUAUUUGAGGUAGGCGGAAUGCGAGGUGUAGCGGUGAAAUGCGUAGAUAUCAGGAAGAACUCCGAUGGCGAAGGCAGCUUACUAGGCUAUAACUGACGCUGAGGCACGAAAGCGUGGGGAGCAAACAGGAUUAGAUACCCGAGUAGUC